UGCCAGCCGCCGCGGUAAUACGGAGGGUGCGAGCGUUAAUCGGAAUCACUGGGCGUAAAGCGCGCGUAGGCGGUUUAUUAAGUCAGAUGUGAAAGCCCUGGGCUCAACCUGGGAACGGCAUUUGAUACUGGUAGACUAGAGUAUGGUAGAGGGGUGUGGAAUUUCCUGUGUAGCGGUGAAAUGCGUAGAUAUAGGAAGGAACACCAGUGGCGAAGGCGACACCCUGGACCAAUACUGACGCUGAGGUGCGAAAGCGUGGGUAGCAAACAGGAUUAGAUA
rnacentral:rRNA from 1 species